rnacentral:rRNA from 1 species
GUUCUUUAAAUAAGGACUAGUAUCAACGGCAUCACGAGGGUUACACUGUCUCCUUUCUCCAAUCAGUGAAACUGAUCUUCCCGUGAAGAAGCGGGAAUAUAACCAUAAGACGAGAAGACCCCAUGGAGCUUUAAAUUUUAUAGCAACUCAGUCAAAUAAACCCUUAUAAUCCACAGAGCCAUGCAUGCCAAUUUUAGGUUGGGGUGACCGCGGAGUAAAAAUUAACCUCCACGACGAAAAGAACUAGAUCUUUAUCUAAGGGCUACAGCCCUAAGAAUUAGUAUACUAACGACAAUGACCCGAUAAUCGAUCAACGGACUAAGUUACCCUGGGGAUAACAGCGCAAUCUACUUCGAGAGCUCAUAUCGACAAGUAGGCUUACGACCUCGAUGUUGGAUCAGGGUAUCCCGGUGGUGCAGCCGCUACUAAUGGUUCGUUUGUUCAACGAUUAAAACCCU